rnacentral:rRNA from 1 species
AGAGUUUGAUCAUGGCUCAGGAUGAACGCUAGCGGCAGGCUUAACACAUGCAAGUCGAGGGGUAGAAGUUUUCGGACUUUGAGACCGGCGCACGGGUGCGUAACGCGUAUGCAAUCUACCUUUUACAGAGGAUAGCCCAGAGAAAUUUGGAUUAAUACCUCAUAGUAUUAUUGAAGGCAUCAUUUAAUAAUUAAAGUUCCAACGGUAAAAGAUGAGCAUGCGUCCCAUUAGCUAGUUGGUGUGGUACGGCCACCAAGGCAAUGAUGGGUAGGGUCCUGAGAGGGAGAUCCCCCACCUGGUACUGAGACACGGNNCAGACUCCUCGGGAGGCAGCAGUGAGGAAUAUUGGACAAUGGGCGCAAGCCUGAUCCAGCCAUGCCGCGUGCAGGAUGACGGUCCUAUGGAUUGUAACUGCUUUUAUACGGGAAGAAACCCUGGCUCGUGAGNNAGAUUGCGGUCGUAGGAAUAAGGAUCGGCUACUNNGUCCAGCAGCCGCGGUAAUACGGAGGAUCCAAGCGUUAUCCGGAAUCAUUGGGUUUAAAGGGUCCGUAGGCGGUUUUAUAAGUCAGUGGUGAAAUCCGGUAGCUCAACUAUCGACUGCCAUUGAUACUGUAGAACUUGAAUUGCUGUGAAGUAACUAGAAUAGUAGUGUAGCGGUGAAAUGCUUAGAUAUACAUGGAAUCCAAUUGCGAAGGCAGGUUCUAACAUCAUAUUGACGCUGAUGGACGAAAGCGUGGGGAGCGAACAGGAUUAGAUACCCUAGUAGUCC